rnacentral:sRNA from 1 species
GUGUGAGCCUCGCUGAUGACUUUGCAUCCUGCUCUCAGGCUCUUUGCAGAGAAAAUUAACAAGAAUGAGCGGAAAGGGAAGGCCGAGAUCACACUGCUGGUGCAGGGCCAGGAGCUCCCAGAGUUCUGGGAGGCAAUGGGUGGGGAGCCCUCUGAGAUCAAGAAGCACGUGCCCGAUGACUUCUGGCCGCCCCAGCCCAAGCUGUACAAGGUGGGCCUGGGCUUGGGCUACCUGGAGCUGCCGCAGAUCAACUACAAGCUCUCCGUGGAACAUAAGCAGCGUCCCAAGGUGGAGCUGAUGCCAAGAAUGCGGCUAGUAAGAGAUGCAGGAGGAGGGCGCGGGGCCGGAUCCCUCCCCGUUGGCUGGGCUUUGACCUCCAGACUCCCGGUCCGCAGCUGCAGAGUCUGCUGGACACGCGCUGCGUGUACAUUCUGGACUGUUGGUCCGACGUGUUCAUCUGGCUCGGCCGCAAGUCCCCGCGCCUGGUGCGCGCUGCCGCCCUCAAGCUGGGUCAGGAGCUGUGUGGGAUGCUGCACCGGCCACGCCAUGCCACGGUCAGCCGCAGCCUCGAGGGCACCGAGGCGCAGGUGUUCAAGGCCAAGUUCAAGAAUUGGGACGAUGUGUUGACGGUGGACUACACACGCAACGCGGAGGCCGUGCUGCAGAGCCCGGGUCUCUCCGGGAAGGUGAAACGCGACGCCGAGAAGAAAGACCAGAUGAAGGCUGACCUUACUGCGCUUUUCCUGCCGCGGCAGCCGCCCAUGUCGCU